GAGCAAGGGCGUCACAUUAAACAAUGGCGUGAUUUGCAUUGAAGGUUGGCAAUAUUAAUCAGCGAUUCUCCGUGCCUAUCAAAUUAUAUCUCGUUUUGAUUAUGGCCUCGAACAAGUCGCUACAAU